rnacentral:rRNA from 1 species
GAUGAACGCUGGCGGCGUGCCUAAUACAUGCAAGUCGAGCGAACGGACGAGAAGCUUGCUUUUCUGAUGUUAGCGGCGGACGGGUGAGUAACACGUGGAUAACCUACCUAUAAGACUGGGAUAACUUCGGGAAACCGGAGCUAAUACCGGAUAAUAUUUUGAACCGCAUGGUUCAAAAGUGAAAGACGGUCUUGCUGUCACUUAUAGAUGGAUCCGCGCUGCAUUAGCUAGUUGGUAAGGUAACGGCUUACCAAGGCAACGAUGCAUAGCCGACCUGAGGGGGUGGUCGGCCACACUGGAACUGAGCCACGGUCCAGACUCCUACGGGAGGCAGCAGUAGGGAAUCUUCCGCAAUGGGCGAAAGCCUGACGGAGCAACGCCGCGUGAGUGGUGAAGGUCUUCCGAUCGUAAAACUCUGUUAUUAGGGAAGAACAUAUGUGUAAGUAGCUGUGCACAUCUUGACGGUACCUGAUCAGAAAGCCCCGGCUAACUACGUG